UCNGGAAAGUCUGGAGUAAAAGGCUAUGGCUCAACCAUAGUGUGCUCUGGAAACUNUCUGACUUGAGUGCAGAAGGGGAGAGUGGAAUUCCAUGUGUAGCGGUGAAAUGCGUAGAUAUAUGGAGGAACACCGGUGGCGAAAGCGGCUCUCUGGUCUGUCACUGACGCUGAGGCUCGAAAGCGUGGGUAGCGAACAGGAUUAGAUACCCUGGUAGUCCACGCCGUAAACGAUGAGUGCUAGGUGUUAGGCCCUUUCCGGGGCUUAGUGCCGGAGCUAACGCAAUAAGCACUCCGCCUGGGGAGUACGACCGCAAGGUUGAAACUCAAAGGAAUUGACGGGGGCCCGCACAAGCGGUGGAGCAUGUGGUUUAAUUCGAAGCAACGCGAAGAACCUUACCAGGUCUUGACAUCCCGAUGCUAUUCUUAGAGAUAGGAAGUUACUUCGGUACAUCGGAGACAGGUGGUGCAUGGUUGUCGUCAGCUCGUGUCGUGAGAUGUUGGGUUAAGUCCCGCAACCAGCGCAACCCUUAUUGUUAGUUGCCAUCAUUAAGUUGGGCACUCUAGCGAGACUGCCGGUAAUAAACCGGAGGAAGGUGGGGAUGACGUCAAAUCAUCAUGCCCCUUAUGACCUGGGCUACACACGUGCUACAAUGGUCGGUACAACGAGUUGCGAGCCGGUGACGGCAAGCUAAUCUCUGAAAGCCGAUCUCAGUUCGGAUUGGAGGCUGCAACUCGCCUCCAUGAAGUCGGAAUCGCUAGUAAUCGCGGAUCAGCACGCCGCGGUGAAUACGUUCCCGGGCCUUGUACACACCGCCCGUCACACCACGAGAGUUUGUAACACCCGAAGUCGGUGAGGUAACCUUUUAGGGGCCAGCCGCNUAAGG
rnacentral:rRNA from 1 species